rnacentral:ncRNA from 1 species
UAAAACAAGCGCCAGAUCCCUUUGGGAUGACGAGGAGGGAAGUUAUCGAUAUUUCGGCGGAUGCUUCCAAGCUUCACAAGCUUAGUAUCAGACAAAAUCAAGGAGCAAUCCUUGCCACAAAGCUGAUAA